UGAUUUUGUUACAUAAAAACACAUUGAUUCAGAAAAGGACAAAAGCAAUGUAGGUCCACAGCGAUUAAAACAUCACUAGGCCGGGUGCAGUGGCUCAUGCCCGGUGAGCACAUCAUGCCCGGUGAUGUAAUCCCAGCACUUUGGGAGGCCAAGGCGGUCCAUGCUUUUAGCAAUCACUUAUGUGUAGAGAACUUUUCCACAUCUCCUGUAUUUAUUCAAUCAACAGGAAUUAGCUUAGCAGCAUAACCCAAAGACUUAUCAUUUAUGUUGCCUUAUGACUGAUAGUGCUAAUAAGUAACUAAGUCCUAUGAUCCUAUUAAGAAUUUUACAACAAAGAGGGGCUUGAGUGACCUAAAUAAAAAUCAGUGCCAAAUAAUAAUUUUCGAAGUAUGCCACAUUCUCAAGAGGUGUCCAUCUAUGGGGUGAUACUUGGGUAGGGGGAAUAAAGUCCACUUCUGAAUUGUGGGUAACAAACACAAGUCCAAAAGUGCCCUCCUGGGUUCAAGCAAUUCUCCUGCCUCAGCCUCCCGAGUAGCUGGGAUUACAGGCAUGUGCCAGCAAUGCCUGGGGCCCACCCAGGGCGGAAAACCGCUUAAAGGCAUUCUUAAUCCACAAACAAUAGCAUGAGCAAUCUGUGCCUUAAGGACAUGCUCCUGCUGCAGAUAACUAGCCCAACCCAUCCUUUUAUUUCGGCCCAUCCCUUUGUUUCCCAUAAGGAAUACUUUUAGUUAAUCUAUAAUUGAUUAAAACAAUGCUUAUCACUGGCUUGCUGUCAAUAAAUACAUGGGUAAAUCUGUUUGAGGCUCUCCGCUUUGAAGGCUG
rnacentral:lncRNA from 1 species